CCUACGGGGGGCUGCAGUAAGGAAUAUUGGUCAAUGGAGGAAACUCUGAACCAGCCAUCCCGCGUGAAGGAUGAAGGGGCUCUGCCUUGUAAACUUCUUUUGUCUGGGGCGAAAAAGCUCGAUUUAUCGAGAACUGACGGUACCAGAAGAAUAAGCACCGGCUAACUCCGUGCCAGCAGCCGCGGUAAUGCGGAGGGUGCAGGCGUCAUCCGGAAUCAAUGGGUCUAAAGGGUGCGUAGGAGUCAGAGGUGAAAGGCUGUGGCUUAACCAUGGAAUUGCCAUUGAUACUGCAGAGCUUGAAUGAGGUUGAGGUUGGCGGAAUGUGACAUGUAGCGGUGAAAUGCUUAGAUAUGUCAUGGAACACCGAUUGCGAAGGCAGCUGACUGGACCUAUAUUGACGCUGAGGCACGAAAGCGUGGGGAGCGAACAGGAUUAGAUACCCGUGUAGUA
rnacentral:rRNA from 1 species